rnacentral:tRNA from 1 species
CUGUCGCUGGGCGACACGAUCGGCGUCGCCACCGCCGGGCAGGUCGAGGGCCUGCUCGCCGCGUUCGCGGACGCGGGCGUCGGGCC